AACGCAGCAUGCGCCCUCCCCCGGAGGGCAUGCCUGGCUGAGAGUCGCGCACACCGGACCCCGAGUCGGGCCGCGAGCAUGCUCCGGCCUCUGUGCAUUGGGCGGCCUGUGCGGCUGUGGUGCAUGCGGAAGCAGUGCGCAGCAGCAGGGCGCCAAACGACAGCGGCCUCAGCUCAGGCAGGACGACCCGCUGAACUUAA
rnacentral:misc_RNA from 1 species